GACGAACGCUGGCGGCGUGCCUAAUACAUGCAAGUUGAGCGAUGAAGAUUGGUGCUUGCACCAAUUUGAAGAGCAGCGAACGGGUGAGUAACGCGUGGGGAAUCUGCCCUUGAGCGGGGGACAACAUUUGGAAACGAAUGCUAAUACCGCAUAACAACUUUAAACAUAAGUUUUAAGUUUGAAAGAUGCAAUUGCAUCACUCAAAGAUGAUCCCGCGUUGUAUUAGCUAGUUGGUGAGGUAAAGGCUCACCAAGGCGAUGAUACAUAGCCGACCUGAGAGGGUGAUCGGCCACAUUGGGACUGAGACACGGCCCAAACUCCUACGGGAGGCAGCAGUAGGGAAUCUUCGGCAAUGGACGAAAGUCUGACCGAGCAACGCCGCGUGAGUGAAGAAGGUUUUCGGAUCGUAAAACUCUGUUGGUAGAGAAGAACGUUGGUGAGAGUGGAAAGCUCAUCAAGUGACGGUAACUACCCAGAAGGGACGGCUAACUACGUG
rnacentral:rRNA from 1 species